rnacentral:rRNA from 1 species
UGGGGAAUAUUGGACAAUGGGCGCAAGCCUGAUCCAGCCAUGCCGCGUGUGUGAAGAAGGCCUUCGGGUUGUAAAGCACUUUUGUUGGGGAAGAAAAGCACUGGGUUAAUACCCUGGUGUUCUGACGGUACCCAAAGAAUAAGCACCGGCUAACUUCGUGCCAGCAGCCGCGGUAAUACGAAGGGUGCAAGCGUUACUCGGAAUUACUGGGCGUAAAGCGUGCGUAGGUGGUGAGUUAAGUCUGUCGUGAAAGCCCCGGGCUCAACCUGGGAAUGGCGAUGGAUACUGGCUCGCUAGAGUGCGGUAGAGGAGAGUGGAAUUCCCGGUGUAGCAGUGAAAUGCGUAGAGAUCGGGAGGAACAUCAGUUGCGAAGGCGGCUCUCUGGACCAGCACUGACACUGAGGCACGAAAGCGUGGGGAGCAAACAGG